AGGUUCGGAGCCAGGAGUUUAGCGAAUUAUUUGCGGAAUUUCGUGAGUGUUCGAUUAGCUAUUUUCGAGGUACUUAGGGGGAUUCGGGACUGUGUGAUGGAGAGCAGCCCAUUCUUUUCAUUGUUUAGGACUUUAUGGACUUCUAGCAUUUAUUCGGAUUUUAUUGUUUAGAGAUUCUAUUUAUUCGCAUUAUUCGGAUUAUAUUAUUUUGGAGGAUUUA